rnacentral:lncRNA from 1 species
UUUAGUAACCAGAAUGGGCAUGAGAAUUGAAGCUGCUUUCUUUCUUCAACACGGGUAGCCAUUAUUUUCUACUCCGGGAUCUUCAAGGUCUAACUCCAAGACGCCAUGAUACUUCCAACGAGUACCAAUCAUGUUGUCUACUUCGUGGACUCCAUGCUACUCCAAACUGCUACUGAACUUUUGUUGCGGUUUGAGCUCUCUUCUUGAGAUCUCUAGAUCGCUUCUUAGAACAUGUUAAACCAUGAUGGUUUUAACCAUUUUUGAGCCUUGAAACCUUGUACAUCAAUGACUUUGAAGUCUUGUGCACAUUCAAUCUUGAGCUCCAUGACUUUGACACUUGAAUGCGUGAGCUUGAUUCAGCAUUCCCACCAGAUUUCUUCUCUAAUUUGAUCGUCCACCAAUGUCACUUCCUCUCUAACAACCACUUGAGUUCGCUGGCCAGAUUUCUUCUUCGUGUUGUCUUGAGUUUUGACUUGGUUGGAUCGUCUAAAUGGACCUUAUGACUUCAAAUAUAACCGGCUGUACUCUUCACUUUCUUAGUCCUUCAUGA